AACCGAAGGCUCAUCAUCCAUCCCAUCCCCACCAAAUCCAAACCCAAAAGCAGCCUUCUCGUCCACGUUCGAACUCCGGAUCGGCGCCGGCCGUCCAUCUUCAUCCUUCGUCCUCCUCCUUCCUCGCCUCCUCACGUGCAUCCAAAUCGAGGGUGUCGAUCACCAACACAUGAUUCGCGUCCCCACGAACUGAACUGAACUGAACUGCACUGCUGGAACUUGUGUUGAAGGGACGAUGGAGUGCGACGGGAUGCGUUUUUGGACUUUUAGUGGGUUGGUGGGUGCAUUUCUUGAUCUUGCCAUCGCGUAUUCUCUGCUGUGCGCAGCUACUCUUGCUUAUUUCACCUCUAAGUUUUUGGGGGUUUUCGGGUUGUGUUUGCCCUGUCCCUGCAACGGACUAUUUGGGCAUCCAAAUGGCAAUGGCUGUGUGAGGAAGGUUUUGGUGGACCAACCGUUUGAGAAAAUAUGUUCUGUCCAAAUGUCUGUGAAGAACAACUUCCCUUUCGAUACAGCAUUGAUUAAUGACCGGGAUCGUGAGAUGAUUUUGGAGCCAGAGGAACAGAGGAUUUGCAAAAAUGGGCGUGUGGAAUUGGAAGGUGAAGCAUCAUGUAGUUCGUAUGCGGAAAGGAGAGAACGAGAUAUAGGUGUAGGAGGGUCAAAUCCAACAAAUGAAUCGGAUGCCGUGUCCGGUGCAGUGGACUCGCUUUUGGGGGAAGAAGGAAGGUUUGACUAUAAGGGAAAGGGAGCUUUGAGCCAGAGGACAAAGGGUCUUCGGCGGCGUCAAAAAAGGUCAGUUGAAUAUGGGAAGGUUUCAUCAGUCUCUUCGUAUGAUCCAUGGCAAGCAGAUGCGCAAGAUGUGCCUUCUCCUUCAAGCAUGAGAAAAUUCAGAGAGGAGUCUCCUGAAGAGAGCUUGUUCUGUGCUGAGUCCCGAAUUAACUGUUUACAAGUUUCAGAUAAAAGGGAUGCUUUAAUGGACUCUGCUCUGUGUGAUACUGAGAAAACUGCUGAUUUACAUGAUGACACGCAGAAAAAUUCAUUAGCUUAUGAAGAAUUCGGAGCUAAUGGCAACAGACAGUCUGAUUUUGGAGCUAGCAAUAAGGACAUGGUUAGAGCCUUGGAGCAAAUACUAGAAGAAGAGCGUUCUGCUCGCCAUGCUUUGUACCUUGACCUUGAGAAAGAAAGAAAUGCAGCUGCUACAGCUGCGGACGAAGCCAUGGCUAUGAUACUGCGUCUUCAAGCAGAUAAGGCAUCAAUCGAAAUGGAAGCUCGGCAGUACCAGAGAAUGAUAGAGGAAAAAUCUGCUUAUGAUGCUGAGGAGAUGAACAUUCUCAAAGAGAUAUUGUUGAGGAGGGAGAGGGAAAGGCAUUUCUUGGAGAAGGAAGUAGAAUCUUACAGGCAAAUGAUAUUUGCAAAUGAGCAGUUGGACGAUGAUCUGAAUGAAACUAUUGCUCCUAGGGCAACGAGAACAUCCUCAUUGAUUUCAAGUGAAGAUCCAGAGCCGAUGCUGCAGCGCAUUGGUGAGUCUCUUAUCAAGAAGGAGAAACCUGAAGCAAACAAUGACCCAUGCUUUCAGGUCCAUUUCGUUCCACUUCAGAAUUGUACUGUCAAUUUUGACAGAGAAUUACAAAUUCCAGAGUGGCUUGAGGAUGAUAAGUCUUUGAGAGCAAGCUGUACUAGUGGUGGGCAAUCAGAUGUUGACAUAAGUGAUCUGCAUCUGGCUGUUAAUGAGAUAAAUCAAGAAGUUCAGGAAAAGGUAAUGUUAUCCACAGACAAUGAUUUAUCUGCCCUUCAAGGAGAUUUGCCGAACCAAAAUAAGCCGUUCUCUUCCCAGGGAAUUGGUUUCAAUGUGGAAACCGAUGAGAAGGAAAAUGAGCUCCUAAUUGUCAACUCAAGCCUGUCUAAAGGUUUAGCGUCAGAUAUCAAUGAGACUUUUAGGGGGAGCCCUAUGAACCUUCCCUUAGAUGGUGGUGAUAUGGAAACUGAUGGGAGAUAUGCAGAUAUCAAUCGCGAAGUAUCAAAAACAUUGGGAUAUGGCCUGGAGCCCUGUGUCCAUGAUGUUCAUGUUAUCAGCGAUGAGCCACUCAGUGGACAUAGUAAAGUGGGAGAGGGUAAGGGGGCAAAACUGACUAAAAAUGCUUCGUUAAAUAUUCUGACAAGUUCCGAGCAUCUGGUUCUAGACAAUCAGGGUACUGGGCUAGACAUGAACAGAAGCAGUUCUGAUGUGCCAAUAGUUAGCUUACAGGAGCAAGCCUUGCCCCCUUAUUUCCGCAGAAAUUCCAUGUCUGUUGUCGAUUAUGAGAGGAUGAAAAUUGACAAUGAAGUUGGGUGGCUUAGGGAGCGGCUUAAGAUUGUACAAGAGGGAAGAGAAAAGCUCAAUCUCGCGGCAGGGAACAGAGGAAGGGGAAAGGACGAGUUGCAGCUUUUGGAAAACAUAGUAAGCCAACUGCGCGAGAUCCGAGAAAUGACGGGAUAUGGGAAGGCUGAGCGCCAGGCUUCUCUGCCACCUGCAUCCUCCAAGGUGCGCUACUGAGUUUUAUGUUAACAUGUUAUUUGCUGGCACAGGGAAGACAACCAAAUUGCUAUUUACUGCAGGUGAGUGCCAAGAAGAGGCGCUGGCGAAGUGUAUCUUUAGGAGUGCACCGAAGCACCUGAUCAAGGGUGUGAACAAUGAAGGCAUCUAUGCUUGUGCACACUAGCUUAUGAAUACGCCCUCCAAGCGACUUCAUCUCGUGAUCCAGGGUUUAAACGGGUAUCGGUUCAAUCUUUGAGAAAUUGCGAUGGUUUUUUGCCACGUCACCUGUGGAUUGUAUAGGAUGUCGUGUGAUUUUGGUAAUAUGGUUAAGUCAGGCUCAUGUACAUACGCCCUCAGUCUUUCUGAUGAGAUGGUUCGACUGGUUAGUUCUGAAAAAAGGAGACUUCUGAUCCUACUAAUGUUGCACAAAGUGACUUUUUAAGGUGCGUUAUUGCUCAAUCAUAAACAACUAAGAAUUACUAUGAAGAAAUGUUAUACUCUC